rnacentral:rRNA from 1 species
CCUACGGGUGGCUGCAGUAGGGAAUAUUGCUCAAUGGGGGAAACCCUGAAGCAGCAACGCCGCGUGGAGGAUGAAGUUUUUCGGAUUGUAAAGCUCUUUUGUCAGAGAAGAAAAUGACGGUAUCUAACGAAUAAGCCCCGGCUAACUCCGUGCCAGCAGCCGCGGUAAUACGGAGGGUGCAAGCGUUACCCGGAUUCACUGGGCGUAAAGAGCGCGUAGGCGGGAGAGCAAGUCAGAAGUGAAAUCCUAUGGCUUAACCAUUGAACUGCAUUUGAAACUGUGAUUCUAGAGUGUGGGAGAGGUAGGUGGAAUUCUUGGUGUAGCGGUGAAAUGCGUAGAGAUCAAGAGGAACACUCGUGGCGAAGGCGGCCUGCUAGAACAUAACUGACGCUGAUGCGCGAAAGCGUGGGGAGCAAACAGGAUUAGAUACCCCAGUAGUC